ensembl:lncRNA
CCCCACGCCGGGUCCGCGUGCCCCGCGCGGCGGUGGUUCGCAGCCCGGGAGCCGAGCCCUCAGCCCGCGGGCGCGGCGUUGUUUCUGCGGCGUUUCUCGCUUUUCUGAGGGCUCGCUCCGGCUUAAGGGACCCGCGCCGAGCUCGAGGCGCCGCACACGGACCUCGACGGGGCUCUCGGCUCGGGGCCGCUCCGCGCGGUACACCUUCCGUCGAGGAGACGCCUGCCGGCAAGGGUGAGAGAGAGGCGGGGAGAACCGGUAGAGGAGAAUUCCAGUCAAGAGGUUGCGUGUGCUGGAGACAGCACCUUUAGAAGAGGAAACUGAGCUAGGCCUUGACAGACUAAGACUCCUUUUUUACGAAUGUGGAUGAGAAGAGCGAGCAGUUCUUCAUACUGCAACCCGAGUGAUCUCUCUGAAGCACAAAUGACAGUCCUCUAGUCCUCUUCACCGAUGAGAAAUAUUAACACUCACUUUGUUUUAUGAGAUGAUAGUGCCCAGCACACAGUGAACCUGGAAACUGAGGCCCAGGAGGGGCCACAUCACCCCCAAAGCCAGGUACUUAAUGCAGAACCAACCCAGGAUGCAGGGCCCCGGGGAACACUCCUCUCCUUAGGCGCCUCCACGGCCAGCUUAGGCUAAAGAAAAUAAAUGAGCACCCAGGACAGAAGCACAUCCAUCCACAGGCCGUGGCGGACGGUCCAGCCGUUCAGACCCGCGGGCGCGUCUGCGUGGAUCCACCCAGAUGGAUGCUCAAGACGGCUGCUGACCGAAUGAGGAAAGGUGCAGAGAUUGUAUGUGGCGGAAUCCUGUUGGCACAUAACUAACGAUGUUGGUGAGCGGCAGCAAGAGCUCUGGAAUAAUACCGAAGGAGGGGCAUUUGGCAGAACUUUCACUUGUUAACGUAUACCUUUGUUGCUAGAAUUUUGUGUGUUUUUUUGUGCGGGGGGGUUCAUCUUGUUUUAUUUACAGGGAGCAUAAAUCUUGUUCCUAAUUAAAAAGAAACUUCUAACAGCCCUCCACUGGCCCUCAGGAUUGUGUCCAAACUCCUUACUGAGGCCCCUCUUGAUCCGCCAGCUUCCAGACUUCCCCCCUGACUCCGGCUCCCAGAGCUCCAGGCUCUCUGCCCUCUGGGCUGUGGGCUUCCUGUUCUCUUUGUCUUUUUUUUUUUCUCUUUGUCUGUCUUUUCUCUUCUCUCCAUGGGGCUGGCUUCUGUUUAUCCUCCAGGGUUGGUGCUUCCUGAAAUACUUUCUUCACUGUAGAUUGGCAGCAUAUUGCCUUGCUUUCCUUUUUCCUGUCCUUCCUGGCCUGCUUUGCCAGCUCCUUUCUUCUCCCUGGCCUUUGGCUCAGUCUUCGGCCACCUCCUCUCUCGGGGGUGAGCGAGAAUGUGCCCAUCCCGCCUGCGUUGUCACCCUGCCUCACUCUACCACGUCCAGCCCCAGCCCACUCCUCCCUCUGAGCACGCAAACCUUCCAGCAGGUGGCAUGGUCGUCCUUCCCGUGCACUUCUCCCCUCUCUGCAGGGCAAAUACUUUUCUUUAUGGUAUGGCUGCUUCCUUCUCACCCUGAGCACGAAGGCCCUGUACCUGCUCCUGAAGGUUCUUGAAAACACAACUCCGGGGUUCUCCCCACUGAAAACCCCUCAGAGGCUUCCCAUGGCUCUAGGGACAUAGACCAUCCUCUUCGAGCCCAGACUUGGCUUGUCUGAGCCAAGCCCACCUCCCUCUGUGCCCCCUGCUCUUCAGCCCCACCGGCCUUACAG